AUUGAACGCUGGCGGCAGGCUUAACACAUGCAAGUCGAGCGAGCGGCGGACGGGUGAGCAAUGUCUGGGAAACUGCCUGAUGGAGGGGGACAACUACCGGAAACGGUAGCUAAUACCGCAUAACAUCAGAUCGGCCCAGAUGGGAUUAGCUAGUAGGUGGGGUACUGGCUCACCUAGGCGACGAUCCCCAGCUGGUCUGAGAGGAUGACCGGCCACACUGGAACUGUGACACGGUCCAGACUCCUACGGGAGGCAGCAGUGGGGAAUAUUGCACAAUGGGCGCAAGCCUGAUGCAGCCAGGCCGCGUGUGUGAAGACGGUCUUCGGGUUGUAAAGCACUUUCGGCUGGGAGGCGUUACUCACAGAAAAAGCACCGGCUAACUCCGUGCCAGCAGCCGCGGUAAUUC
rnacentral:rRNA from 1 species